rnacentral:ribozyme from 1 species
UAUAUCAAUAACAGGAAUCGCGCACAGAUACACCCCCCAGUGAUUUCAAAAAACUCGACAACAACCACGAUGUUCCGUCCAGCUACGAAUACCACUCAGACCAACAAUCACAACAGACGA